rnacentral:rRNA from 1 species
AAACUGGCGCGUGCUUAAACAUGCAAGUCGAACGGGUAUUCCCUGGCAGCUUGCUGCCGGGGUGAGAGUGGCGAACGGGUGAGUAAUGCGUGACCGACCUGCCCCAUGCACCGGAAUAGCUCCUGGAAACGGGUGGUAAUGCCGGAUGUUCCACAUGAGCGCAUGCGAGUGUGGGAAAGGCUUUUGCGGCAUGGGAUGGGGUCGCGUCCUAUCAGCUUGUUGGUGGGGUAACGGCCUACCAAGGCGUUGACGGGUAGCCGGCCUGAGAGGGCGACCGGCCACAUUGGGACUGAGAUACGGCCCAGACUCCUACGGGAGGCAGCAGUGGGGAAUAUUGCACAAUGGGCGCAAGCCUGAUGCAGCGACGCCGCGUGCGGGAUGGAGGCCUUCGGGUUGUAAACCGCUUUUGUUCAAGGGCAAGGCACGGUUUCGGCCGUGUUGAGUGGAUUGUUCGAAUAAGCACCGGCUAACUACGUGCCA